AUACCUACCUGUCAGGGGAGACACCACGAUUCCUAAGAUUGCUUUCCCAGGGCAAGGCUUAUCCAUUGCAAGUCAGAUGUACUGACCCCUGAGACACCUCCAAAUAUGGGAAACUCUACUGCAGAAUUUGCGGUAGUGUGGGACUGUGUUCACGCUCUCCUCUG
ensembl:snRNA U1 U1 spliceosomal RNA